CGCUUAGGCGUGUGACUGCGUACCUUUUGUAUAAUGGGUCAGCGACUUAUAUUCUGUAGCAAGGUUAACCGAAUAGGGGAGCCGAAGGGAAACCGAGUCUUAACUGGGCGUUAAGUUGCAGGGUAUAGACCCGAAACCCGGUGAUCUAGCCAUGGGCAGGUUGAAGGUUGGGUAACACUAACUGGAGGACCGAACCGACUAAUGUUGAAAAAUUAGCGGAUGACUUGUGGCUGGGGGUGAAAGGCCAAUCAAACCGGGAGAUAGCUGGUUCUCCCCGAAAGCUAUUUAGGUAGCGCCUCGUGAAUUCAUCUCCGGGGGUAGAGCACUGUUUCGGCAAGGGGGUCAUCCCGACUUACCAACCCGAUGCAAACUGCGAAUACCGGAGAAUGUUAUCACGGGAGACACACGGCGGGUGCUAACGUCCGUCGUGAAGAGGGAAACAACCCAGACCGCCAGCUAAGGUCCCAAAGUCAUGGUUAAGUGGGAAACGAUGUGGGAAGGCCCAGACAGCCAGGAUGUUGGCUUAGAAGCAGCCAUCAUUUAAAGAAAGCGUAAUAGCUCACUGGUCGAGUCGGCCUGCGCGGAAGAUGUAACGGGGCUAAACCAUGCACCGAAGCUGCGGCAGCGACGCUGAUGCGUUGUUGGGUA
rnacentral:rRNA from 1 species